rnacentral:tRNA from 1 species
GGCAAGGUGGCCGAGCGGUCCAAGGCGCCACGUUAAGGUGUUUAACCCUUAAUCAGUAUCCGUGGUCUCGAAAGGGGCGUGAGUUCGAAUCUCACCCUUGUCA